GUUUUCUUUUCCUGUAUUAACUCACUUAGGAUAAUUGCCUCCAGUUGCAUCCAUGUUGCUGCAAAGGACAUGACUUAAUUAUGGCUGCAUACUAGUCUGUGCUAUCUAUAUACCACAUUUUCUUUAUCCAGUCCACCAGUGAUGGACAAUCCAGGUUGAUUGAUGUCUUUGCUAUUGUGAAUAGUGCUACAAUAAAUAUACAAGUGCAUGUGUUUUUUAAUGGAAGGUCAUGUUUUCCCUCCUGGGUUCAGGCAAUUCUCCUGCCUCAGCCUACCAAGUAGCUGGGAUUACAGGCGUGCACCAACAUACCCAGCUAAUUUUUGUAUUUUUAGUAGAGAUGGGGUUUCACCUUGUUGACCAGGAUGGUCUCGAUCUCUUGACCUUGUGAUCCACCUGCCUCGGCCUCCCAAAGUGCUGGGAUUACAGGUGUGAGCCACCACGCCCGGCCAAAGACUUUUUUUUAAAAGAGAGUGGCUAAGUGGCGAUAGGACAAACUGUGUCAUUUGGGAAGUGGUUAAAGAACUGGGUAUAUCUAAUCCAAAAAGAUAAGGCACGACUAUGUGAUCAAAUUAAAUGCAAUUUAAAGGCAGAUUUCAUUGUGUCACUUCUCUGCUCUUAACCAUAGAAAGGCUGCUUAUACCUAUAGAACAAAAUCAAGUUAUUGCCUUCCCCUAUAAUCAGACCUUUCCCUAAACUUAUUUUCUUUCAGUUAGGAAAGCAACAAUGAACCACUUUAAUCCAGAGGUUCUCAUGACUGCAUGUUUUUGCUCACAGUAGCUUAUCUGACAUUAACAUUUUGGUCCAAAUAAAUAAUCUGCUUUCUGCAAUUCAGCUCAAACAUUCCUUCUUCUUAGAAAUCCUGUGACAAUUGUCACUUGCUCAGGCCCAGGCUGUAUUUUUAUUGUGGGUCACUUUCCUCCUCCUCCCUUACCCCAUGAUACCUUUCAGAAAAGGGAUUGUGUUUUCUUUAUUUUUAAGCUUUUAGUUCUUACUGCAGUGUCUGUCACAUAAAAGGUUCUCAAUUAAUGCUUAUCAAAUGAUACUAAUAUCUCAAUUUCAAUAUUUGAACACCUGGUGCAUGGAAGAAAAACCUUACCUUAUGUAGCUGAGGACUAGAGCUAAGAAUAGUGAGUGAAACUCACAGGAAUAUAGAUUUCCAUGUAAUGAGAGAAAAUCUUUCCAAGAAACCAGAGCUCUCCCAAAGAUCAAAAGUCCUCCCUCAGUUCAGGAGUGAGGAAGACAGCCAAGACAUGUUAAGACAGCCCUUAAUAUGGGCCAGGGAAAGAAUAUAGCACUUAAAAGUGAGUUGGUUCAGCGGGCCUUUGAAGUUUCCUUCAAUCCUGAGCCCAGUAAUUCUCCAAAUGCGUAACUGCCCAC
rnacentral:lncRNA from 1 species